rnacentral:misc_RNA from 1 species
AAGUCGUAACAAGGUUUCCGUAGGUGAACCUGCGGAAGGAUCAUCAAUAGUUCCAAAAUACCUUAUUGAGAACUGUUAGUGGAUGUCAAAGGUAGGAAAGUGGUGUAGUAGUUGCUGCUGCUGUGUUAAUUGUUGGGUGUUCGUGUGACGCUCAACGGCAACGGCGGCGGCAGCAACAACGACGGCUUUCCUAUUUGUUGUAUGUGGGUACCACCAUAUAUUAUAAACUCUAGUGGAUUAUUAUAAGUCUGAUAUAAGUUGUAUGUGUGUGAGAUUCCUCUGUCGAGUCCGCACGUAUGCGUUAAAUCUAAUACAACUUGCAGCGAUGGAUCUCUAGGCUCUG